GUCAUGUUCCCCAUGUUCCAGGAGCUUGCACCACACGACCGACACGAUAAGUGUGGUCACCACUAUGCGGUCUGUCUUGACCUGAAGAACCAACGUAUCGAGGUGCUUGAUUCAAUCCGUUCGGAAGCUGAUGCAGACCUUACUACGCAUGCCGAAUUCUUCAUCAAGAACCUCAAAGAGACUUGGAACCGUCACUACGAACAUUCAAAGGUCCAGAUCAGGCAUUUCCCGACUGAGUAUGUGGCGACUAUGAAGCAAGGGAACACGACGGACUGUGGCUUUCACGCGCUGGAAUACUUUGCAAAGUGGGAAGGCAGAAUUGUCCCCGCUAUCACAGAUGCAACGGUCGUUGAGCUCCGAAAAAUCUGCACAUGGAACUGGCUGACGAAUGAAGAUUUCAACAAGCGGUCUGGAGCACGCGAGUUCGUGGAGGAAGCUGUCAAG
rnacentral:rRNA from 1 species